rnacentral:tRNA from 1 species
AUGUAGCUUAACCAAAGCAUCUCGCUUACACCGAGAACAUGUCAGUGAAACCCAGAUCAUUUUGAG